AAACCAAAUAAUUAUGUUUUAUGGAAAUUCUUAGAUGGAUUGUGCAGAAUUAUGGAAAGGAAAAGAAAGAACAACAGGAGGAUGGCAGAUCAAAGCAAGCAUCCAGUGAGAAAGCACAAUUUAGUAUUUGCUGGGAACAAGCAGUACCUGUCAUUUUCAUGUUCUCUGGGAUGUGAACAAAUUUGCAACUCAUAGUGGUUAAAAAAUUUAAGCAAGUUGCAGGUAAUUUUCAGCAGCUGUGAUCCCCUUAAUUUUUAGAUGAGUUAACUUGUUAAUUUCUUUUGAAGUAUCUCUGAGUGAGAGUGCAAUUACUGUGCACUAAAUGAUGCUACCUGGAUGCCAAUUAAUAUGAUGACUUAAAUUUUCAUUCUCAAGUGUGGCUUUACUUUUUUCAUUUAAGAGUGACUUAAAUUUGGCAUGACUAUGUUUUCUCAAUCUGGUUGUGGUUCACUCGCAACCAUGAUUCUUCUUGAACUUGAUAUGUAUAUGAACAGGUAUGUUAAUCUAAACAAUUCAUAUUGAGUUGUUACUUCACUGUGCUUAGGAGUUAGUUGGAACUGAACACAGUAUUAUGUGAUUUAAUGGUUUAGUUGGUAGCUAUCUACUUCUAGAAUUGGUGUGAGAUGGAAGAUGAAGAAGCUAGAGAAGUGAUGGAACCUCUGCCACUAGCGAGUUUCAGGCAAAGAACACACAAGAUUUUGGCCAAACAAUGAGCAAGUACCAAAUAUAUAAGCAAUGCAGCCUUUUGGAGCAAGUACCAAACAUACAAGCUUGGAGCCUAUUGGAGAUAAAAUUUGGUAAAAGGUAAGA